UACGUAGGGUGCGAGCGUUUGUCCGGAAUUAUUGGGGCGUAAAAGGGGCUCGUAGGCGGUUUGUCGCGUCGGGAGUGAAAACCCUUGGGCUUAAACUCAGGGCUUGCUUUCGAUACGGGCAGACUAGAGGUAUGCAGGGGAGAACGGAAUUCCUGGUGUAGCGGUGAAAUGCGCAGAUAUCAGGAGGAACACCGGUGGCGGAAGGCGGUUCUCUGGGAAUGUACUGACGCUGAGGAGCGAAAGUGUGGGGAGCGAAACAGG
rnacentral:rRNA from 1 species